AUUGAACGCUGGCGGCAGGCCUAACACAUGCAAGUCGAGCGAGCGGCGGACGGGUGAGUAAUGUCGGGGAAACUGCGUGAUGGAGGGGGAUAACUACUGGAAACGGUAGCUAAUACCGCACACCAUCAGAUGUGCCCAGAUGGGAUUAGCGAGUAGGUGGGGUAACGGCUCACCUAGGCGACGAUCCCUAGCUGGUCUGAGAGGAUGACCAGCCACACGGGAACUGAGACACGGUCCAGACUCCGACGGGAGGCAGCAGUGGGGAAUAUUGCACAAUGGGCGCAAGCCUGAUGCAGCCAUGCCGCGUGUGUGAAGAAGGCCUUCGGGUUGUAAAGCACUUUCAGCGGGGAGGCGUUACCCGCAGAAGAAGCACCGGCUAACUCCGUGCCAGCCGCCGCGGUAAUUC
rnacentral:rRNA from 1 species